GGGCAAACCCAUUGAAAGGUGGGGACGCAAAGCUUCAGAUCUAAGGAAUAGUUAUUAUUCUAAGAUAGCUGGGUUGCA
rnacentral:ncRNA from 1 species